CUUCUAAGUGGCUGAUUGUCUGAAGUUUGUUUCAGCUUUACUCUGUGAGUUUGUGAUGUUUAUAGUGUCAUCUUGCAAUGUUUGAGAACAUAUGAAGCUAUAUAAUCAAAAUGCCCCUUGGGGUAAAGAGAGAAUGUUGAAUGAAACAUUUCUCAAAUAAUAGUCUUUCGUUUAUAUAAAAAGGGUGCGUCGAGAAGCUAUCAUCAAGACGAGUAGAUAAACAACGAAAAGGAUAUAUUUUUUCUUACACAUCAACGGCUUGUCAGUCCACGAAAUAAAACCUCAUAAUCUAUUUUACCAGCAGUCCUGCUACAUCAUUUUUGUCUGUGUGCAAAGAAUGUCCUUUGGAGCAACAAUGCAGCUUCUUCUAGGGAAAGUUUGGCAUGUAGAAAUGAUGUAAUUUAGCUUCUUUCAAUGAGAGUGAAUUGGGGAAUAAAAAUAAAUAGUCUUUCUGUGCAGCCCUUUUCUUUUCUUUCUUUGGAAGGUGGUUCCAAUGUUGCUGAUUACGAACCAUGUAAUAUCAGUUCAGUAAAAUGGCAUAAAAAUUAGCAGAAA